rnacentral:lncRNA from 1 species
CAUAUACAUACACACAUAUCCAUGUAUGUCCACAUAUGUGCAGGUGAAUAUAUUCUACACAUAUAUCCAGAUAUACAUAUAUAUAUACACGCAGCCUCGCAAAUAGUUACUGAUCUGGGGAAAGAAGUGGUUGGCUGGAAACUGGGCAAGGAUUUUACAAAAUUCGAGUCUUGGCUCUGUCUUCCUUCUUUUCCUUAAGCUGGGGAGGAGUUGGCUAGGUUGUUCAAUUCUUGCUUUCUGGUUUGCUAGGCUUCUGUAUACAUAUUGUAUCUGGGCUGGAUCCCUCAGGGACAAGUUUAAUUAUGAAUUCACAUCCCACUGUCCCAAAUUCUUCCCUUAGAUAUAGCCAUCCCUCAAUCCAGAACUCUAAAGGAACCCAAAUCAAGAACUCUCUCCCCACAUCUAAACCUCAGCUACAACCAUCGCCACUAGACCGCCAAGUGGUUUCUUACUCUGAAUAGAAGAGCAAAUUUCUUUUGACUGUAUCAUGAUCAUGACUAAUUCUCAUACUGGUCUCUCUUCCUUCCCUCCUGCCAUCCCCCAGAGUUCCCAUCCUACCCCAAGGCAGGUUCCUAUUGGUGUUUGGAUGCAUUUUGUGUUUUCCCUCAUGGCUUAAUCAGCCCCGAUUUUCUUCAUUUUAGGGCAGGAUGCUGAACGGGCUACAUUAAAAAACAAACCUCUCUCUCUCUCUAUUUAUAAAUGAGAACUGUUGGAUGACACCUUUGACAUAUCAGCCAAUAUCAAUCAAGCUGAAGACUCCAGACACUCUGAGACUGUAACAUUUCUUCAAGGAAAGUAUAACGUCUAUGGAGUUCAGAGGGAACGUGUUUGGGGGAAAAAUAUACAUGACAUAAAGAAGACGACAAUGAAGAAAAAUGAGGAAAAACAUAUACACAUUAAAAAAAAAAGGCAACUUUAAAACAAAAUAACAUGAGACCAGACGGGGAGGCUGAAGGGCUGGGCACUGGGAGAAGACGCUGCUGCUUACCGAUCCUGGGGCUUUUCCAGCCCAUGGGCGCCUGAGGCAGGCGGGGGCAAGCGUGUGGCGGUGGGGGCCUGGUCCCCAGGGGGCGUCUGGGAGGCUGCCACUGAGCAUCUCUAUCUGUCAUUCCUUUAGCUGUUUAGGGACCAAAGGACCAAACUUUUUAUUGCAGAUGUGUAGCUCUAUGUCAAAUAGAGGAGGAAUGGAGGACUACCUCCUUCCUGCCUCCUGGCUGUUCUUGAAACAGCUUAGAGCGAUUCUAUGAAAAACAUAAUAAAAAAUUCAAAAAAAAAAUACAAAAAAUACAAAAAAUGAAAAAAAAUGCUUCAAUGCUUUUAAAACAGCAAGAUAAUAGUUCUUUGAUACUUUGAGAGGCGCUUUGAUUACCCUCAUUGAAGUCUAUGAAACUUUCCUAUGGUUUUCUGUAUUAUAUGUCUGGAUGGAGCUGUUAAGAUGCACAGAUUGGUGGAUAUUUGGGGAAAGCAACAAAAGUAUGAAAACUUAUUAACCCUGAAGUGUGAGGAAAACAAGGAGGGGAACAAAGGAUCUUCCAAGACAAGGUAAUUGUUGUGAAAAGUCUGUAAAUGCUUCUAACUCUUCCCCCUCUUAAAAAUCAUAAUAGUUGUACAGAAUUUUAAAAAGGAAAAGUUUAAAAUACCUAUAUAAUAGAAGAAAAAAAAUUAGAGGAAAGCAAAAAAUAAAAAAAAUUAAAAAAGGAAAAAAAAAAAACUAUAGAAGUUAGCGUUACUGCUAAAAUCCCAGAUGUUGUAGGACUGUACUUUUUGUAGAGUUUAGACUGAGCAUCAAUCCCUUCUCCCCGCGAGUGCUGUCGGACGCCGUUGUCCCCGAGGGCCAGGCCGGACUCUCCCAGACCUGCGGGCUCCCGGCCGCCCGUCGCGGUGGAGGCCGUGCACCCAGCCGGGAAGGGCCCCUCGCCCGCCGCCGCCGCCGCCGCCGCCGCCGCCGCCGCCGCCGCCGCCCGCGCCUCUCGCUUCGCUCUGGGAGCUGCGCGCUCGCUCUCCGCAAGCCCUGGACACCUCCCGCUUCACUCGCCUUCCCUGCUUGAUCCAGAGACUUUCCGGGCAAGGGAGAACUGGGAACUUUCAUCUUAAAACAACUAGGCAACACACACACACACACAAAAACCUUAAAAAAGAGAGAGAAAAAUAAACAAUCUUUGAAGAAUUUCUGAAACUGUUUACAAGGAAUUUUGAAAAACAGGGAUGUUUAAAUGAUGCCGGCUCUGUUUUUCUGUAAAUAAAUUUGCAUAUUUUGUAGGACUUUUAAUUGUAAUGAUAGAGAAAAAACAAGGAAAACUAUUUAAUGAAAGCACGAUAUUUAUCUUUGGUAAAUGACUUUAGAGCAGUUAAAGACAUUGCUUAAAAACUCAGAAUCAGAAAAUACACUGAAUUAUUUAAGAACACAUAUAUUUUAAAGUAUAUCAUAUUUAUUAUAAUUUAUUUGCACCUUUGGGAAGACUUGCGUUGGCAUUCUGCCUCCAUAAUUCCUUACUGAUGGCCAGUUCAUCCGGAGACCAGGGGGGCACUGGGACCUAUCACUUUUUUUUUUUUUUUUUCCUUUAGAAGAACAAAUUUCUGGUUCCUGUCAGGCCUCUUGUCUUUCCUUUCCUUUCUAUUUUGUUUGUUAUUUUUUUUCAUGUUUUUAAUUUUCUUUUUCUUUCUCUUGACUCCUCCUUUUAGGAUGUCCAGAUGUUGUAAAAAACAAAACAAAACAAAACAAAACAGCUGCAGUUCGGUACAACUGCUCUUUUCACACUCAACUCCCUAAAACUCCUUGUAACCUUCUGUAACUAUUGGAUGACGCUUUCUCCAGCUUAGCCCUAAAUAAAGCACAGUUUAAAAAAAA